GCGGACGUGGCGAAACUGGUAGACGCAAGAGACUUAAAAUCUCUCGGAGAGAUCUGUACGGGUUCGAUCCCCGUCGUCCGCA
rnacentral:tRNA from 1 species